rnacentral:lncRNA from 1 species
CAAAUGCCAUCACAAGGACUUUUCCACGGCUUGUAAUGAGGUUGGGCUAACAAGAAAAAUUGGUUUCUCUAGAAUGCAAAAUCCUUGAGUUAAGAGAGCUACCAUAGUAUUCAACAUUUAAGCACAACUCUCUUCCUCACCAAUCUCACUUAUUUCCCAACUUCUUUCCUUUUCUUUUUGCAUUGAGCUCAUCUUCAUGUUUUUUUCUUAUCUUUUCUUUCCUUUUUCUCAUGCAAUUUUUUUCUCAACAUUUGAGCUUAAUUCUUUUCAAUUGCCCUUUCAAUAUCCCCCAGACAACCCCAAACUUGAACCUUUUCAACACAUACAGUUAAGUUCAACCCAACUCAAGGUGAAGAAUUUCAAAUCAAGGGUUCUCAUCCUGUUUAAGGCUAAGGUUCAAAAAGGGUAUAAUAUUUCAAGCACUUUGGGUGAAAAUUUGGCUAGAGAAGGGUUUUCAAAACUGGCCUUGAUCAUAUGAAAUUCACAUGCAAUUCAAUCAAUCAUCAAGAUUAAGGCAAUAUCAUUCAUGUUUUCCUGUGAACAAUACAUACAACAAUGAAAACUCUGGAGCUCAAUACCUCACACAACAUGCUUUCUCACACAUCAUUCAUUCAUACACCCUGCUUAGCAUCAUAACACAAUCAUAAUUCAUCACACAUCUGUUCACAAAGUUAGUGAACUUUUUCACUAGAUAUCAACAUGCAACACAACUCAAUUAUCCCCCAAUCAUCAUUGAAUAGACUUAUCAUGCAUGUUAUUCAGUCAAACAUUUUCAGAAAAGUAUUCAAGCCAAGCAUAGACACUGAAAAUAAAAAUUCAACCU